rnacentral:rRNA from 1 species
UACGAGAGGCGCAAACGUUAUUCGGAAUUACUGGGCUUAAAGAGCUCGUAGGCGGCUUAGUAAGUCGGGUGUGAAACCUCCAGGCUCAACCUGGAGACGCCACCCGAUACUGCUGUGGCUAGAGUCCGGUAGGGGAGCGUGGAAUUCCUGGUGUAGCGGUGAAAUGCGUAGAUAUCUGGAGGAACACCGGUGGCGAAGGCGGCGUUCUGGACUGUUUCUGACACUGAAUAACGAAAGCCAGGGGAGCAAACGGG